CAGACCAAACGACGCAACCCCCCAUCCCUAAAUUGUCUGAAGAACAAAAAAAACCUUCCCUCUUUACAACAAGAAAAUUCCAUCCCAAGCAAAAAUAGUGACCUCCCUUCCUUCUAUUCUAUCGCUCAACAGAAUAGAGCACACACACAUAAAAAAAUACACACACACAUAAAAUCAUUCAGCGACAAACAAAAAGCAAGAAGAAAAUUUGAAGUUCCAAAAGUUUGGAAAGCUGAAAAUGAUAAAAGAGAUUUGAAAAAAAAAUGGAAGAAAAAUCGGAGAAUAGUGAAUUUCUAAGGCUCUGCUGAUUUCCGUGGCGUUAUCUCCUUAAUUUCUGGGUUUUCGAGUUUAUUUCAAAAUCGGAAUUUGAAGCUGCAUGUUGUUGAUUCUACUGUUGCCGAGCUCCAAUUUUUGUUUUCCUUGCCUUAACUUGUCUCAAUCUAGCCAUUUCCUACACCUAGCAGGUAUUUUUGCUGCUUGAUGCUGUUAAAAUUGAUUGGCUAGGAAGAAGGUUGAAUACUCUUCAAUCUUAUUUAUUUAAACUGGCAUGUGUAAAUAAUCAUGUGGUGUGGCUUCACUGUCCAUGCAAUGAUGUUUACUAUCCUUGAGUUCGUGCAAACGAAUUUGUUAAUAUCUGAUAGAGUUGUGUUUGACUAGAAGAGGGAAGUCUGAGUACCUCUUGACAGAAUUUUACUCCAGCUGAUUUAUGGCUGCUGGUGCUCUUAUGUGCUUGAUUUUGUGCUUUUCUAUGUAAUUACCAGAGUAGUUUGGGACUCGAAAAUCAAUUAUUGUCAUAUGUGCUUAAGUGCGUGACCUAAGCUUUUGGUUCCAUGUAUGCUAGUGUUUUCUCCAUAAUUUUCCUGAAGUAUGCUCCCUUCUGGUUGGUUACUAGCCUUUUAUAAUUAGGGUUGAGCAGUUGUGUUACAUAACUUUGUGGCGAGACUUGAAAGAGUAGUAUAAUACCUGAUGAUAUGUUCAUGUA